UACGUAGGGGGCAAGCGUUGUCCGGAUUUAUUGGGCGUAAAGAGCGUGUAGGCGGCCAGGUAGGUGGGUUGUGAAAACUGGAGGCUCAACCUUCAGACGUCGACGCAAACUCCCUGGCUAGAGUCCGGAAGAGGAGAGUGGAAUUCCUGGUGUAGCGGUGAAAUGCGCAGAUAUCAGGAAGAACACCCGUGGCGAAGGCGGCUCUCUGGGACGGUACUGACGCUGAGACGCGAAAGCGUGGGGAGCGAACAGG
rnacentral:rRNA from 1 species